UACGGAGGGAGCUAGCGUUGUUCGGAAUUACUGGGCGUAAAGCGCGCGUAGGCGGCUUUGUAAGUUAGAGGUGAAAGCCCGGGGCUCAACCCCGGAACUGCCUUUAAAACUGCAUCGCUUGAAUCCGGGAGAGGUGAGUGGAAUUCCGAGUGUAGAGGUGAAAUUCGUAGAUAUCAGGAGGAACACCGGUGGUGUAGACGGCUCUCUGGACCGUAACUGACGCUGAGACACGAAAGCGUGGGUAGCAAACAGG
rnacentral:rRNA from 1 species